rnacentral:lncRNA from 12 species
AUGAUCUCGGGGUGCCGGGGUCGAGGCCCAGACCGGGCUCCCCGCCCAGCGCAGUCUGCAUCUCCCUCUGCCCCACCCCGCUCAGUCGCGCUCUCCCCCCUCAGACAAGAUCUUGAGAGGAAACAGCUCUGGAAGCCCCCCCACCUUCUCCGCUCCCUUAUUAGCUGCCGGUGGUGCACACGGAAGGGAGGGUACAGGCCCUUCUGUCCCCGCUGCCCCGACCCGCUCGGGCCCAGAUGCCACAGAGCCCGCCUCCCCGCCCCCCAGCACCCCUGCACGGCCACACCGCCCUCCGCGGGGGAUGCCACCGAGCCUGCGCUUCCUCCUUGGGCCGAGCGGCUGCCCACAAGGAGCGCGGACCCCAUGGGGCCCAGGGACGGGUUGGGGGUGUGGCACCGACAGCCGCGCGAGGCCCCUCACCCCAGAGCCUGUCACCCGGACAUCACCUGGAACCUUUCACCCAGAGCCCAUCACCUAGACCAUGUUACCUGGAGCCCAUCACCUGGACCCUGUCACCCGGGGCCUGUCACCUGGAGCCUGUCACCCAGACCACAUUACCCGGACCCUCUCACCCAGGGCCCGUCACCCGGACCACGUCACCCGGAGCCUGUCACCUGGAGCCCGUCACCCGGACCCUGUCACCUGGACUCUGUCACCCGGGGCCUGUCACCUGGAGCCUGUCACCUGGAGCUCGUCACCCAGAGCCUGUCACCCAGGGCCUAUCACCCAGAGCCCGUCACCUGGACCCUGUCACCCAGGGCCCAUCACCUGGGCUCUGCACGUCCAGGGUCCUCUUGCGAUGGCCUGCUUCCCGACCUAAGAGGCGUGGGUGGAGGGGAGGGCGAUGCAUCACUAAGGGACACUCCUGGGUGUCCCGGCCCCUGUGCCUGGGGGAGGCCCAAGGCCGGGUGGCCUGACAGGUCCAAGUCCACGUGUGCGAGUGGACGACAGGCCCGUCCUGCCAGGGUGGUCCAGGCCGUGCACGAGGGCGGAGGCUCAGACUAG